UUUCAUCACAAAUGUAUCAGUUGUGAUCAGUAAAUACUCUGUAUGAGUUCUUUAAGAAAUUUACUGCUUUUUCACGUUGGCUCUUAAAACAAAUAUGCAUCCGAGUUACACGAGGAGACCAGCUAUUUCACAUCUGCUGUACUUUCCAUUUCAACAGGUUGGAGAACAAAAGCCUUCAGGUUGUUGCUGACAGCAGAUUUCUAAUGAGGACAUUCUUUCAUAGAGCAAUAUUUAAGAGCAUGGGGAGGAAUGAGCUCACUGUUCACAAGUGGUCAGUAAAAUCUCAAAUUUCCUUUUUCCUUUCUCCUUGCAUAUUUGUUCCAUUUCCUGAUGUACGCAGGAAUGACUAGAAGUAAUUACACAAGUGAUGUCUACUCUUUCUCUCCCACCUCUUUUAAAAAUAUGAAUUUCACAUCUUUGUUUUCUUUCUGCAGUUCUGACCGUAGAAUCCUAGGAGAAUUUUGGCUUUUUAUCUUUAUGAAAACGCAUAUGUAUAAACACAUAUAUAUAAUUCAAUGUCUGUGUGCAACCUUCUCAGCAAAAGGUCUUUCACCAAGAAUGGGGUGGCCCUCUGGCUGUAAACAAGAGAUCCUCUAAACAGACUUGGACCUAGGAAAGCCUGCUAGGAUGAGAAUAUGGCAGAAACACAAGACAUUUACAUUUGUAUCAGUUUUGAAAGCUCCAAACAGAAAGAAAUUGAGGGCUCUUCAGAAUAAAGAUACUCUGAAAGAUAUUGCUCA
rnacentral:lncRNA from 1 species